GGGGGAGCGGGGCGGAAAGGUCGCUGUCGUGGUGAUGGGGGCAGGCUCAGACCGCCUGCGCCACCCAGGCCCCGCCGCCCGUGUAAACAAAACCGAGGGUUUUGUUUACGGAGCACUCGCGGCGCUGGAGGCGGCGAGACCGCGAGUAUUCCUACGCUCUCCGAACAACAACCCGUGUUUCUUCCAGGCCUGCACCUCCAGCGCUCAACAAACCACAAAAUGUGGUAAAAAUGCAGAAAACAACAUCCCCUCUCGCUCAAAAAGAAAAAAAAAAGACGAAAAAGCGGAGGUGGCGAGGCAGCGAGUGCUUCUACGCUGACCGAACAACAGGCUGUGCUCCGUCCAGCACUAAACAAAGCCAAAAUGUGGUGAAAACGCAUUGAAAACACACGACAUUGUCCAAAAGAACAAUAAAAACGGGCAAAAAAGCAGAGGAGGCUUAUGAAGCAGUGAGACGGCAAGUGCUCCUACUCCGACAGAACAACAGGCUGUGCUCGGUUCAGUCCUGCGGCUCAAGCAUUCGACAAAGCCAAAAUGUGGUAAAAAUACGUAUCAUAUUUGAUCCAAGCAUCCCAGCCUGUCCAUAUAUGAAAAUAUAUCUACUUUUUGCAAGAGUGAAGGAAAAUUCCAGGCUGGCAGCUGUGUUCCUGACAUGAAGCCAAGCAUUUACCUGCUGCAGCCAAGCUGCUGAUGAAGAACACAUGCACUGUCACAUCACAAAACAUAACUGGAAGGGAAGGCAUACUAAAUUCUGCAUGUGGACAAAACACUUCUUUCUGCUUCUCAAACAUUGAAAAGCUGAUGAUCCACUUCUUAAAGGUGUUGUGAGUAUGCUCAGGCAUUUGAGGGAUUAUUCCAUUAGUAUAUGUAAUCUCCUUCCUAUUUUUUCAGUGGUAGAAUGCUUCUUAUUGAAGGAGAAAGAGAUUUGGGAUUAACCUCUGAAUGUUACCUAACUAAAUCAAUAAAGGUUUUGUUUGCACAGACCUCAGUAAGGCAGGGAUUCCACCCUUGACCAUGGAAAAAGUUUCUCAUUAUAUAUUCAUUGAUGGUGUAGUUUGAAACUUCAACCUGCCUAUAAAGGAGCAGCCUGCUAACAAACAGUGCUCUGGGCAAAUUAAGUUGAACACUUGCAUUCUGGGAGGUUUUGCAAAAUGUUUAUCUUUAGAAACAGCUUUAAAAAAAUACUCAAGGCUAUCAACCAUGCUGGGCUCAGCAAGAAGAAGAGGGACACAUACAUGCAAACUGACUCCAGUUCUCUAAACAGAAGUAGAAAAAAACACAUUGAACCUUUGAUCUCCACAGCAGUGCAACGAGUUUCCUUUCUGUGUUGUAUGUGAAAUUAUAAAUAAGACUCGUUAUUGACUGAGGGAAGUUGAUGCAAUUCUCAGAGAAACGGGUCUUGAGAUAAGAGUUUUGGCUACUGUAUCUUCUGCUGGGCUGCUUACCUUGCCAUUUUUGCAGCAUGGCUGUUAAAUUACUCCAGCAGAAAGCCCUCGGUACAGUCGAGUUUCUGAAGACUUAUGGAAAACACAGAAUAUAGGAUUUCCGAGUAUUGGAAAGACAGACCCAUUUCUUUGUCGCAAAGUUAUAUGCUUGAAAGAGUCGUGAAUGUUUAAACAGAAAGUGUCUUAUUUCCUAGAGAAAGAUAGAAAACUUUAAACAGAUUAUUCUGAAUACAAAGAAAAGCCACAUUCAUCCCCUGGGUACUCACUGACUCACAAGCAGUUUCUCAAAAGUCUUCUGGCUUUUAAACCUGUAUUCUUGGUCUUCAGAAAGAGGUUACAGAGUAGAGUGACUUCUGCAGGGAUCUCCAAAGGAUAGGAGGGACAGAACCUACCUUUUCCUGGUUCCUGUGUGACAACCUGCCCUGCAUAAGGGGAGAAACUUGGCCUCAACCCCCACUUCUGGCACACUGACAAUGUUACAUCCCUAAACAUGAAGGCACACUGGUACCUGAGGAAAAAGAAACAAAUGAAACACGUGGCAAAUGCAAAACAGAGCCCAAAGCUUUGAAGUGCUAACACAAACAAGUAUACAUGUAUAUAUGUGCAUUUGUAUGUGUAUAUAAUGCACAUAAAUAUAUGUAUAGAUAGAUAAAGAAUGAAGAAAACAAUAACUUUCCAGUCUUAUUUUUGCAACAGGUGCAUGAUUUUUAUGCCCAUGGCUGUGCACAGCUCUCUGCAGUAAGAUGAAACUAACAUUUCAAAUGUAUUUAUUUGAAAAACAGGCUGGAGAUGAUGCUGGUCUGAACAGGCAUCAGAGCCAUGGGACACAGACAGGCAGGGAUCAGCAGUGAGGCUGCUGAUGGGCCAGUGGCAAGCAAGGCCCUGCAUCAAGGCACAAUAUUGCAACCACCUCCUGUUUUCUAAAUUGUGAAAAAAAUUCACUGCAGUGUGGGGAAUAUUUAAGGAAAAUAACUCAGGUAAAUUUGGACACAAAAUUUGUAACAAAUAUUUAUAAUACUGGGAUAUGUAGUAUCCAAAGUAUCCAAAGAUAUGAUUUUAUUUAAAAUGGCAUUCACAUUUUGUCUCUUGUAUUUGCUGCUACUACUAUCCUCCUACCUCUCCUCUUAUUCUAGAAAAAAAAAAUUAAUUACUCCAAACAUGCAGGCCUAAACCAGAAGUGAUAAAUGAAGUUAUCAGCUCAAUGCAUCUAGUGAACUAUGAGCUCACAUACUUUGACUUUAGGAGCUGGUAUCACUUAAUAUCUACUCUCAAUAAAAUUGACUUCUUCUUUGAUUAAACCUGUUCAACUGGUCCUGCUUAUAAUUCUUUAAAACACGGUAAUUUAAAUAUUAAUUAACUCUUUGAAUUUAAACAUCUAUCUUUCUAAUAACAUGUUAAGAUAUAUAUAUACAUGUGCUUGAUGUAUCCACUGUGGUUUAUGAAGAUGGAGGAUUUAAACUGAUUUAGACCUGGUGUUUACUUUUUAGAAGAGAUUUCUAAAAACCAAACUAGAAUAUACGAAUCAAGUUCAGCAUUUCCAGAAGUAUUAGUAAUAAAUGUUAGAGAAGAGCUUCAACAUAUGUGUGAUCUUAGGCAUUGUUCACUGCUUAACAUUUAAAAUCCUUGUUUCAAAAAAUAUCCACAUAGAUUUAGUUUUGUUAGAAGCAAUUUGAGUAAAUGAAUCAAGAUGCUUCAGGGCAGAAUUUGUAUGUACAAGCCUACACCUCCCUCAUCUCCACAAAUCUCUGUUACCUUUCUUCCCCACAUUUUACAGUCUACCUGUGUAUAUUCUGGCUAUGGCUUUAUAUGUGGACCAUUUCUAGAACAGCAACAAAUUUGUGUCCAGGUUCUUGAUUAAGCACUGAGCAUGCAACAGCUGGGACAGAAUUGCUGAAAGACACUGUCAGUGUGAAAACUUUCUGUGAGCUGGUACCUGGAGACAGAUAAGCAGCAAACAGAGAUACUUCAGAGUCUUCUCUUUGUCUCUCUCCCCUGUUUCUCUCCACUGUUCCCAUUUACCAGGCAAACUCAGCCCAAAACAUGAGCUAUGGCAAGCAGAGCCUAAUGGCAGACUUCUCAUUUAAUUAAAGGAGAAAUGAUAGGAUCAUUCCUAACCUAAACUAUACUAAACACCAAAUUCGUAUUGAAUUCUGGCACUAGGCAGACUGACAGUUUUCAGACACUUCUAUGCUUAAUUUUAACUGCAGAACCAUCCCUGAUGUUAUUGCAAUAAUUGUCUGUUCCCACCAUGGAUACCUCUGUAGUUCUUGAGUUUCACAGUCACAGGCAUUCCCAAGGGUCAGUGUUCUGAUAAAAAAAAGUAACUUGGAUAUUUAAAAAAAAAAAGUAUUUCUGUUAGGACCAAUUCCCACACAAUGUUUGUUUAUUCAGCACACAAAAGGAAACUGUACUUUGUUCUCCAAGAAAGCUGGUGGUGCUGCAGACAUCAUUACACUGACUGAGAGUCCCAGUAGGGGAAUUCAGAUGGCUCACAGGAUAUUUUUCCCAAUCUGUGCAGAGCUGACCAGUCCACCAGUCCCAGAGAGCUUUGAUGAGGUUUCUGAGGCCAAAAUGAGACUGCUGUGCACACACCACAUCUGGCAUUGUCAUGAGCAGCAGGUGGCAGGAUGCUGGUUUAAGAUUCAGUGUAGUUAAAUACAGCGUUAAAUACAAAAAGCAAAAUCUUGGGUGCCUGAUACUGAACUGCAUGAAAUCGCUUCCCCCUGCCAGGUAGGAUGGUCAGGCUGCUGGGGCAAGACCUUAUUUUGCUAGCCAGAAGUGCACCUCAGUGAUAACCUGACCUGAGCCCACUCCCCUGCGCAAAAACAAAGACACUUCCUGCUCCUAAGUACUUUGCAUUUGUGCCAACAGGCAACAUGACUCACUGCCUUUACUUUUAAAUUGUGCUUUCCCUUCAAAAUGGCUCUGGCUGACCUGGUCUGGAUGGAUCCUUCCUUCUACAACAGCCAGGCAGGUGGUGGUGGUGCCCAAGUCCACCUGCUGGAACACCCACAGAUCUUAACUGUGCAUAACAUUGUGCUGCACUGCAGUUAUUUACCCCUUUUCUCACUUGUUUCAUGAAGAAAAAUCCACUGUUGUGUGUCUCAGAGGUUAUUCCUGUAAAGCACUGGUGUUACUUGUCUUACACAGCCCUGGUGAGGGCACAUGGCAGGAGGGCCUUGUGGUGCAAAGGCGAUGGGGCAGGCAGGGCUAAAAACCACAGCAAUCGAAAGAUACCCAGCUCACUUGGUUACUUCUCUGUUCCCUUCCUCUCUGCUAUAUAUAAUGACAUUUCUCAGAGCACAUUUCCCCCAGUUACAACCUCUACCAAUAUUGCACCAGCCUUUGGUGAAGCUGUGGUAGCUGCACAUUUCCUGGACUGGCUGAGCUCAGGCUCUGUGGAGGUGCAGCAGCCUCCCCACCUUCAUCUGCCACUUCAGCACUGAGACGUCGCGUGAGCUUUCACCUGAAGGAGGGAGAAAAAGAUAAAAUCCAGGUGGAAUUGUGGAGCAGCUCCUCAUGGCCAAAAAAGCUAGGUCUGCUUUUACAGGCUGCAGCAGGCAAGGCUAAACAGAAAUCAGGAGAUCAUCCCUGCAUCCUCAAGCCUUGCUUCAAAGCUGGAGUUUUACAGCAUUUUCAAGUUUGACAUUGAGUUGUUUGAGGUUUUUUUUCUGUGCAUAAAUCAGCAUCACUUGGCUUGAAAAUAUGUUUUUCUGAAAUAUUCAGACCACUAAUGCCAGUUUGUAGACAGCUAUUGAUCCAGCAUCUCUCGUAGUUCCCCCUUUCCCCUGCAGCCCUCACUUCAGAAAGGUCUGUUUCAUAAAUGCACAAAGUCUGGGGAGGCUUCUCUCAUUCCUUCAAAGGAAAACCUUGGGGAAAAGCCUUUCUGUAUAUCCUUUCUUGCCUACAUAUUUACAUUUCUGUGAAGGAACUGUGCAGGUCACCCAAAAUGCAAACUUUGCCAGUGAUGCUGCUGCUCUGCUGUUCAUUUGGAACCCAGUUUUGCUUUCAAGUUCAAAAUGAAAUGUUUUUUCUCUUCCUGCACACAGCAGCCAAACACUCCUUGAGCCUUCUGAGGUGUAGCACGUUUCCUUUGCUGGGAGAGGGGAAUUUCCUCUUUUCAAAGCAUCAAAUCCCUCCCUACACCGCAGUCUGUCCCUGGUUACUCUAUACACCCUCUAAGAAAACUGAAAAAAAAUGUGAAAUACAACUUGUUUGACCACUUAGUAUUUA